CACCACUCAAGCUCAGCUUGGUAUUGGGCCCUCGUCCCUCGGGGCGUGCCUGAAAAUCAGUGGCGGUGCUGCCUGACUUCAAGCGUAGUAAUUUCUACCCUCGCUUUGGAAGCUCGGGGCGUGUGCCUGCCAUACAACCCCCAUCUUUUUAU
rnacentral:misc_RNA from 1 species